AUCAUGGAUUUUUCGAAUAUAUUGUCCAAUGACCCAUCAUAUGCGGUCAUGACUUUUAUUAUUAACUGCAUAUUAUUCACUACCAAUGAUAUUAAUUAAUCAGCAAAACUUAUUGUCAUACAUUAUGGGAGAAUAUAUCAUAUUAAAAUCAAUUCUGGGUAUCUGUGUAAACCCAUGAGCUCCAAGCUUCGCUUUAUAUCAUAUCAUUAUUCUCUUUCGUACCAACUCCUAUUCAAUUGUGUGUACACAUAAUAUAGAGAAUACAAUAGCGAGUUGAGCUAUGUCUUAAUUGCUCCUUUAUAUAUCAAAUAAUCAGGGCACUUCUUGUGCCUAGUUCUGGAUCCAGAUUGAGCAAUUAUAAAGGCAAAUGUGUUAUCGACAACAUUUUUCAUAAAUUUCUCUCAUA